rfam:Hepatospora eriocheir strain GB1 NODE_917, whole genome shotgun sequence.
AGCUUCAUAUAUCAGUGGUUAGAUUGUCGUGCUAAUAACGCGGAGGUCCUGGGUUCGAAUCCCAGUGAAGCUA